UGCCGCAGGGAAACCAUUAAGCCCGCCGCCUGGGGAGUACGGCCGCAAGGCUGAAACUUAAAGGAAUUGGCGGGGGAGCACCACAAGGCGUGAAGCUUGCGGUUUAAUUGGAGUCAACGCCGGGAACCUUACCGGGGGCGACAGCAGGAUGAAGGCCAGAUUGAAGGUCUUGCUGGACAAGCUGAGAGGAGGUGCAUGGCCGUCGCCAGUUCGUGCCGUGAGGUGUCCUGUUAAGUCAGGCAACGAUCGAGACCCGCACCCUUAGUUGCAACCUGGUACGGAUUACCGUUCAGGGCACACUAAGGGAACUGCCGCCGACAAGGCGGAGGAAGGAGCGGGCCACGGCAGGUCAGUAUGCCCCGAAUCCCCCGGGCCACACGCGAGCUGCAAUGGUAGGGACAAUGGGUUCCAACCUUGAAAAAGGGAGGCAAUCCCCAAACCCUGCCUCAGUUGGGAUCGAGGGCUGCAACUCGCCCUCGUGAACAUGGAAUGCCUAGUAAUCGCGCGUCAUCAUCGCGCGGUGAAUACGUCCCCGCUCCUUGCACACACCGCCCGUCGCUCCAUCCGAGUGGGGUUUGGGUGAGGCGUGGUCUUGUUGGCCGCGUCGAACCUAAGCUUCGCGAGGAGGGAGAAGUCGUAACAAGGUGGCCGUAGGGGAACCUGCGGCCG
rnacentral:rRNA from 1 species